rnacentral:rRNA from 1 species
AACGAACGCUGGCGGCAUGCCUAACACAUGCAAGUCGAACGAGAUCUUCGGGUCUAGUGGCGCACGGGUGCGUAACGCGUGGGAAUCUGCCCUGUGGUUCGGAAUAACAGUUGGAAACGACUGCUAAUACCGGAUGAUGACGAAAGUCCAAAGAUUUAUCGCCAGAGGAUGGGCCCGCGUAGGAUUAGCUAGUUGGUGUGGUAAAGGCUCACCAAGGCGACGAUCCUUAGCUGGUCUGAGAGGAUGAUCAGCCACACUGGGACUGAGACACGGCCCAGACUCCUACGGGAGGCAGCAGUGGGGAAUAUUGGACAAUGGGCGAAAGCCUGAUCCAGCAAUGCCGCGUGAGUGAUGAAGGCCUUAGGGUUGUAAAGCUCUUUUACCCGGGAUGAUAAUGACAGUACCGGGAGAAUAAGCUCCGGCUAACUCCGUGCCAGCCGCCGCCGUAACAC